CGGGCGCCCAACCUCCCACCCGUGAAUACCUUACCACUGUUGCUUCGGCGAGGAGCCCCUUCCGGGGGGCGAGUCGCCGGGGACCACAUGAACUUCUUGAUUGUAGAGUUGCGUCUGAGCCUGAAAUAUAAAUCAGUCAAAACUUUCAACAAUGGAUCUCUUGGUUCCGGCAUCGAUGAAGAACGCAGCGAACUGCGAUAAGUAAUGUGAAUUGCAGAAUUCAGUGAAUCAUCGAGUCUUUGAACGCACAUUGCGCCCCCUGGCAUUCCGGGGGGCAUGCCUGUCCGAGCGUCAUUGCUGCCCUUCAAGCCCGGCUUGUGUGUUGGGUCGUCGUCCCCUCCGGGGGACGGGCCCGAAAGGCAGCGGCGGCACCGCGUCCGGUCCUCGAGCGUAUGGGGCUUUGUCACCCGCUCGAUAAGGACCGGCCGGGCGCCAGCCGGCGUCUCCAACCUUUUUUUCUCAGGUUGACCUCGGAUCAGGUAGGGAUACCCGCUGAACUUAA
rnacentral:rRNA from 1 species